rnacentral:rRNA from 1 species
UUGAUCCUGGCUCACGAUGAACGCUGGCGGCGUGCUUAACACAUGCAAGUCGAACGGGAACCUCUGGAUUCGUCUGGAGGGGAGAGUGGCGAACGGGUGAGUAACACGUAGGUGACCUGCCUCGAAGACGGGGAUAGCUGCUGGAAACGGUAGCUAAUACCCGAUGGUCUCGAUAAUUCGGUUUGUCGAGUAAAGGCUCCGGCGCUUUGAGAGGGACCUGCGGCCCAUCAGCUAGUUGGUAGGGUAACGGCCUACCAAGGCGAAGACGGGUAGGGGGCGUGAGAGCGUGACCCCCCACACUGGCACUGGGACACGGGCCAGACUCCUACGGGAGGCAGCAGUGAGGAAUAUUGCGCAAUGAGCGAAAGCUAGACGCAGCAACGCCGCGUGGGUGAUGAAGGCCUUCGGGUCGUAAAACCCUUUUCUGGGGGAAGAGUAAGGACGGUACCCCAGGAAUAAGCCUCGGCUAACUAUGUGCCAGCAGCCGCGGUAAUACAUAGGAGGCAAGCGUUAUCCGGAUUUACUGGGCGUAAAGAGCGUUGAGGCGGCUUCGUAAGUUGGACGUGAAAGCUCCCGGCUUAACUGGGAGAGGCCGUUCAAUACUGCGGGGCUUGAGGACAGCAGAGGGGGGUGGAAUUUCCGGUGUAGUGGUGAAAUGCGUAGAUAUCGGAAGGAACACCAGUGGCGAAGGCGGCCCCCUGGGCUGCUCCUGACGCUGAAGGCGAAAGCUUAAGGNG